CUGCUUUUCUUUGAGCUAGUGCCAUAAAAAGUAGUAUCAUGUUCAAGCAUAUCAUCGUGCCACUUGCUCCCUUCUGCUGGUGUCAGAAAUUUGGUUCAAUAUCCAAAGACCGAAACGAUUUUCAUGUUGCUUUCAGUCUCAAUUCCAUGUGCCACUUGACUUGUUAGAGAUCCCUGUCUUGUUUUUUCUUUUGCUUUUAUUGGGAGCAGGCCUUAAAU
rnacentral:lncRNA from 1 species